GAUGAACGCUGACAGAAUGCUUAACACAUGCAAGUCAACUUGAACUUCGGUUUGGGUGGCGGACGGGUGAGUAACGCGUAAAGAACUUGCCUCACAGCUAGGGACAACAUUUGGAAACGAAUGCUAAUACCCGAUAUUAUGAUUAUAUGGCAUCGUAUAAUUAUGAAAGCUAUAUGCGCUGUGAGAGAGCUUUGCGUCCCAUUAGCUAGUUGGAGAGGUAACAGCUCACCAAGGCGAUGAUGGGUAGCCGGCCUGAGAGGGUGAUCGGCCACAAGGGGACUGAGACACGGCCCUUACUCCUACGGGGGGCAGCAGUGGGGAAUAUUGGACAAUGGACCGAGAGUCUGAUCCAGCAAUUCUGUGUGCACGAUGAAGUUUUUCGGAAUGUAAAGUGCUUUCAGUUGGGAAGAAAAAAAUGACGGUACCAACAGAAGAAGUGACGGCUAAAUACGUG
rnacentral:rRNA from 1 species